GUAUUUUGAGGGACCUACUUACAUAAUACUCAAGACAAUCCUUGUGUGGCUUCACAUUCACUUAUAUUUCAGAGGGGAAACUUCAUCUUUUAAAGAGGAUUGGUCGGAUGAUUAAGGAUAUUCUGCAUGCCAUAGGAGCAGCUAAAUGAAAAUAAAGUUCCUUGUAGCCCAUUACCCUGAGCGAUUCGAAGUUGGAACAAACUUUACUAGAAGGAUGACAGUUGGUGCCCCAGGUGCAUCUGCCUCACUGCUCACCUUAGCUCAUCUCCAUAACUGCCCCGUCUAUCUCUGCACCCAAGAUUCACUCAAAAAGGCUACACUGCGCUAUGUUGCUUCCCUGGAGCUUGUUACAGAGAAUUUCUUUACCAUUUGAGGAAUGUGUUCAAGAUGCCGUGACAGAUUUGCCGAAAUCCUUCCGAGUAAAGAGAAGAAGGCUGGAAGAAAACUUGAGCUUUCAUCUGUGAGCAGCUGUUGAAGUUGGCAUUGAAAACACAGCCUUCGGACUAAGAAAGCCAAUAGAUCCCAAGUUGGGCCUAUCACUG